rnacentral:rRNA from 1 species
GGCGAGUGAACCAGGGAAGAGCUCAAAUUUGAAAUCUGGCGUGCUCAGUGCGUCCGAGUUGUAAUCUAUAGAGGCGUUUUCCGUGCCGGACUGUGUCUAAGUCCCUUGGAACAGGGUAUCAAAGAGGGUGAUAAUCCCGUACUUGACACAAUGACCGGUGCUCUGUGAUACGUCUUCUACGAGUCGAGUUGUUUGGGAAUGCAGCUCAAAAUGGGUGGUGAGUUCCAUCUAAAGCUAAAUAUUGGCGAGAGACCGAUAGCGAACAAGUACCGUGAGGGAAAGAUGAAAAGCACUUUGGAAAGAGAGUUAAACAGUACGUGAAAUUGUUGAAAGGGAAACGAUUGAAGUCAGUCGUGACUGAGAGGCUCAGCCGGUUCUGCCGGUGUAUUCCCCUCAGUCGGGUCAACAUCAGUUUUGUUCGGUGGAUAAGGGCAGCUGGAAGGUGGCACCUCCGGGUGUGUUAUAGCCAGCUGUCGCAUACAUCGAAUGAGACUGAGGAAUGCAGCUCGCCUUUAUGGCCGGGGUUCGCCCACGUCCGAGCUUAGGAUGUUGACAUAAUGGCUUUAAACGACCCGUCUUG